rnacentral:rRNA from 1 species
UACGUAGGGUGCGAGCGUUGUCCGGAAUUACUGGGCGUAAAGAGCUCGUAGGUGGUUUGUCGCGUUGUCCGUGAAAACUCACAACUCAAUUGUGGGCGUGCGGGCGAUACGGGCAGACUGGAGUACUGCAGGGGAGACUGGAAUUCCUGGUGUAGCGGUGAAAUGCGCAGAUAUCAGGAAGAACACCCGCGGCGAAAGCGGCUCUCUGGAACGGUACUGACGCUGAGACGCGAAAGCGUGGGGAGCGAACAGG